CCUAUCCCUAGAGGCAUUGCAGGCAUGGCUGCUGUGUCACUUGUGUGUCCAUCCGUAGGUGGUAGAAAAGAGAGACCUUAUAUCUACCCUGAGUGUUCUGACCUGUGAACAUCUGAAUGAUUAGUAGCCCAACACU